rnacentral:rRNA from 1 species
UACAGAGGUCCCAAGCGUUGUUCGGAUUCACUGGGCGUAAAGGGUGCGCAGGUGGUUUGGCAAGUUUGACGUGAAAGCCCCGGGCUUAACCCGGGAAUGGCGUUGAAAACUGCUUGAACUGGAGGGUUGGAGGGGGGACUGGAAUUCUUGGUGUAGCAGUGAAAUGCGUAGAUAUCAAGAGGAACACCAGUGGCGAAGGCGGUUCUCUGGGCAUGUCCUGACGCUGAGGAGCGAAAGUGUGGGGAGCGAACAGG